rnacentral:rRNA from 1 species
GUGAGGAAUAUUGGACAAUGGGCGCAAGCCUGAUCCAGCCAUGCCGCGUGCAGGAAGACGGCCCUAUGGGUUGUAAACUGCUUUUAUACGGGAGCAAUAAGGUCUAUGCAUAGAUUGAUGAGAGUACCGUAUGAAUAAGCAUCGGCUAACUCCGUGCCAGCAGCCGCGGUAAUAUGGAGGAUCCGAGCGUUAUCCGGAUUUAUUGGGUUCAAAGGGUGCGUAGGUGAUUUGAUAAGUCAGCGGUGAAAGUUUGCAGCUUAACUGUAAAAAUGCCGUUGAAACUGGCGGACUUGAGUGUAAAUGAGGUAGGCCGAAUGCGUGGUGUAGCGGUGAAAUGCAUAGAUAUCACGCAGAACUCCGAUUGCGAAGGCAGCAUACUAAGCUACAACUGACACUGAAGCGCGAAAGCGUGGGGCUCAAACAGGAUUAGAUACCCGAGUAGUCC